ACAGAAUGUGAUUGUCGAGGAGAGCCGCUGGCUCAAGCCUUUUAGCAGCAAGAACACAUUGGUCUCCCGAGGAGUUUAGUUUCAGUCGCUCCAGGUUGGAACUUCUGAGUAAUCUCUAUUUCAAGAUGGGAUCCUGUGAGAAUUUUGAAACUAAAAUGAAACAACACUGGAUGGAAAAGGUAGAAUGAAAACAGCCGCUAGAACUUGAGAAUCUAUUCAUGUUGUGU
rnacentral:lncRNA from 1 species